AAGAGUAUUGGAGUGGGUUGCUAUGCCCUCCUCCAGGGGUUUUCAACCCAGGGAUCGAACCCAGCUUUCCUGAUUUCCUCUUGACUCUUCUGUUUUUGCACCAACAGAAGAAUGCCUAUUUCUCUAUAUCAAAAAACACUUCCACAUCGACCGGAAAGCUGCAGGAAUUAAUACUGCAAAUCUAAAAUGGACUUGACAAAGAAGAGUGACUGGAAGACAAGGGUAAUAGGAGAGGGAAUGCUGACCACACAGCGCUUUACAGAUGAUUGAAUUUGGAGGAUGAGCUUGUUAAAGACAGUUCCAUUUCCUUCAUUUGAAGGGACUAUAAAUAUGUAAGGGUGGAGAUGGGGCAUGAAGAGAGAUAAUGAUAACUAUUA